AAAACAUGUGAAACCAAAAUUGACCAUAAGAACCUCAAUAUCUGCUGUUCUAAGCCAAAUACGAUGAUACAAACAACAACGACCAUUUCCUAAUGAUUGAUACGAUAUAAAGUAAGCAUAUAAAUACUCCAAACAACAUGUCAUUAUAUAUUCUAUUAUAAAUCCACCCAGUAACUCGUUUCGUUCAGACGACAGAUUUCCCCAAUCAGCGAACA
rnacentral:lncRNA from 1 species